UAAAGAAAAAGUGUGGGAUUGCAAGGAAUCAAGCAAUCAAAGGUGGUGAGCCCUCUAACAAGGGUAAAAAGAUUGUGCCUGAAGAUCGAUAAUAGGAGUAUAUCGAACUCUUAGUACUAUCAGAGUAAGCUGUAGAUAGCUAGUUCCAUCGAGCAUUUCCAUUGGAUUGCGUCUUCCAAACUGGGAAAUGAGAAACUGAUAUUAAGCCUUGCGGGGUUUCGGUUGGCAUUUUGGGAGAUGAGUGCCCAUCGAGGCACUGUGGCGGUUGUCACAGGCUCGAGGGGAGUUUCGGGUCAUGACACACGAUGUAUCAUAACAGAUAAUGGAAAACAAUUCGCAAUCGAGAAGUUAUGUGCACAGUUUAACUUCAAGCAACAUAAUUCUUCCAUGUACCAUGCACCAGCAAAUGGUUUAGUAAAAGCUUUCAACAAGACUUUGUGUAAUCUUCUCAAGAAAGUUGCUAAUCGCGCAAAGAAAGAUUGGCCAGAGAAAAUAAGGAAAACUUUAUGGGCUUAUCGUACGACAUUUUAUACACCUACUCAAGCUACUCCACACUUGCUUGUUUAUGGUGUAGAAGCUAUUCUCCCACUAGAGCGUCAAAUUCCAUCAUUGAGAAUUGUCAUUCAAGAAGGCCUUUCGAAUGAAGAUAAUGUUCACCUACACCUUGAAGAACUUGAAGCAUUAAAUGAAAAAAGGUUGGAAGCACAACAACGCUUAGAAUGUAAUCAAGCCCGAUUGUCCAAAGCUUUAAACAAGAAAGUUAAACCACGAUCAUUCCAAGUGGGAGACUUAGUUUUUGCUGUGAGAAGACCCAUAAACACUACACAUCGUAUGGGUAACAAGUUCCUCUCAAAAUUGGAUGGACCAUAAGUUGUUCAAGAAAUCUACACCAAUGGCACAUAUAAGAUUAUUGAUCAAGAUGGAGUAAGAGUUGGUCCAAUCCAUGGCAAAUUCUUGAAGCACUACUAUGCAUGAAGGUUGGAUGCUCCUUAGCAAGAGGUUAAACUACCCACAAAAAAAGUUUGUUAAGUUGAAAAUUUUUAACAGGAUGAUUUAGGCAAAAGUUAAGAAAAAAAAAACAAAACCUGCUAAGUUGAAAAUCCUUAAUAGGACAACUUAGGCAAAAGUUAAGGAAAAAAAUAUAUAAACUACGUUAUGACUUGAUCCUUUUUCAUAUUAGGAAGUAUGUAGGCACCUUGGUCUCAUUGCCAAGUUCAGUUACAAAAAAAAAAAAAAAGGUCUCUUGAAUUAAGCAUGACUUAAUUCUUUACGAUGAUUGAAGAAUAAAUCAAGUUUGUGCUUUGCUUUGGUUA